rnacentral:misc_RNA from 1 species
AUAAUACUUCAUCCUUAGUAUUAGUGUAUACGAGUUGUUGAAGGAUCAGAUCAAUGCCAACUAUUUGAUAGAAUCAGUUGGCAUUGAUCUGUUCGAUUCAGUAGUCUUUUAAUCACAUAAGCAUUUCUUUUUUCUAUUUUUUUUCCAAAGGAAAUUUUUUUUUCUGGUGGGUUCAUGAUCGAACCACCUAUUUUUGUUCUGUGUUGAUCUGUAUCUGUAUUAGAAUUUAUGUAUAUUCUUGAAUAUCGUUAUAUUUUCUACAAUUUAGUACAAUUUAGAGGAUUGGCUCUUCAUAUCUCUCAUUUUAUCUCUCAUUUUAUAGAAGGUCCAUUUUUUUAGAGAGAAAGUAGGGGCGGAUGUA